GAGGACUUGGGCAGCUGCAGCCAACCAUUGGCAGAGGCUCGGGUCCUGGCGGCGGGUGAAGGUAGGGGCCAGAGACCUGCAAUUCUGGACAUCUGGACAGUGACCAGCUGGUGCCGUGGGGGAGAUAUCUCGUUAGCCAGCGCGCAACUGAAGAGACCUCUGUGGAAUCCCAAUUGGAAAGCGAAAAUUGAGAAAGUGGACUUACACUGACACCUGCUGGAACAACAUCAGGUCCAAAAACCGGGGAUAAGUUGGAGGUUGACCUUCUGACCGCAUGGUGCAGGGACAACAACCUCCUGCUGAACGUCAACAAGACCAAGGAGAUUGUUGUUGACUUCCGGAAGGGUCACACCCAACACCUGCCGCUGACCAUCGACGGUGCUGUGGUGGAGAGAGUGAGCAGCACCAGAUUCCUGGGGGGGGACAGAGUGAGGAUCUCUCCUGGUCCACCAACACCGUAUCACUGGCGAGGAAAGCUCAGCGCCGUCUGUACUUCCUGCGGAAGCUCAGGCGAGCUAGUGUUCCUCCGGCCGUCAUGACUACAUUCUACCGUGGCACCAUUGAAAGCAUCCUCUCCAAUUGUAUCGCUGUUUGGGGUGGUAGCUGCACUGAAUGCAACAGGAAGACCCUGCAGCGCAUAGUGAACACGGCUGGUAAGAUUAUUGGUGAUUCACUCCCCUCCCUGAAGGACAUUUACACCUCCCAUCUCACCCACAAAGCGACCACGAUUGUGAGCGAUGUGAGUCACCCCGCUCACUCUUUGUUUGGUCUUCUGCCCUCUGGAAAGAGGUACAGGAGCCUGCGCUCCCACACCGCCAGGCUCACCAAUAGCUUCAUACUCCAGGCUGUUAGGAUCCUGAGCUCUCUCCCCCCUUCUGCGUAGCGUUCUGUACUUUUGCGCUAUGUGAUUCUGACUGUAUGCUGUAUGCACACUUGCUCCAUUUUUGCUCUUAUUUAUGAUGUCAUUUGUUUAUUUUUUAUUUAUUUAUCACUCUUAUUUAUUCACUGUUUGUGCCUUCUUGUUUUUAUUUGUUUGUGUUGUUUACUUGUAUGUAUAUUGUGUACUAUGUCUUGUCACCGUGGGAUAGUGGGAACAUAAUUUCGAUUGCUUUGUGUGUCUUGGCAUGUGAAGAAAUUGACAAUAAAGCAGACUUUGACUUUU